UGCAGUCGACGGUGAACACGGAGCUUGCUCUGUGGGAUCAGUGGCGAACGGGUGAGUAACACGUGAGCAACCUGCCCCUGACUCUGGGAUAAGCGCUGGAAACGGCGUCUAAUACUGGAUAUGUGACGUGACCGCAUGGUCUGCGUCUGGAAAGAAUUUCGGUUGGGGAUGGGCUCGCGGCCUAUCAGCUUGUUGGUGAGGUAAUGGCUCACCAAGGCGUCGACGGGUAGCCGGCCUGAGAGGGUGACCGGCCACACUGGGACUGAGACACGGCCCAGACUCCUACGGGAGGCAGCAGUGGGGAAUAUUGCACAAUGGGCGCAAGCCUGAUGCAGCAACGCCGCGUGAGGGACGACGGCCUUCGGGUUGUAAACCUCUUUUAGCAGGGAAGAAGCGAAAGUGACGGUACCUGCAGAAAAAGCGCCGGCUAACUACGUGCCAGCAGCCGCGGUAAUACGUAGGGCGCAAGCGUUAUCCGGAAUUAUUGGGCGUAAAGAGCUCGUAGGCGGUUUGUCGCGUCUGCUGUGAAAUCCGGAGGCUCAACCUCCGGCCUGCAGUGGGUACGGGCAGACUAGAGUGCGGUAGGGGAGAUUGGAAUUCCUGGUGUAGCGGUGGAAUGCGCAGAUAUCAGGAGGAACACCGAUGGCGAAGGCAGAUCUCUGGGCCGUAACUGACGCUGAGGAGCGAAAGGGUGGGGAGCAAACAGGCUUAGAUACCCUGGUAGUCCACCCCGUAAACGUUGGGAACUAGUUGUGGGGUCCAUUCCACGGAUUCCGUGACGCAGCUAACGCAUUAAGUUCCCCGCCUGGGGAGUACGGCCGCAAGGCUAAAACUCAAAGGAAUUGACGGGGACCCGCACAAGCGGCGGAGCAUGCGGAUUAAUUCGAUGCAACGCGAAGAACCUUACCAAGGCUUGACAUAUACGAGAACGGGCCAGAAAUGGUCAACUCUUUGGACACUCGUAAACAGGUGGUGCAUGGUUGUCGUCAGCUCGUGUCGUGAGAUGUUGGGUUAAGUCCCGCAACGAGCGCAACCCUCGUUCUAUGUUGCCAGCACGUAAUGGUGGGAACUCAUGGGAUACUGCCGGGGUCAACUCGGAGGAAGGUGGGGAUGACGUCAAAUCAUCAUGCCCCUUAUGUCUUGGGCUUCACGCAUGCUACAAUGGCCGGUACAAAGGGCUGCAAUACCGCGAGGUGGAGCGAAUCCCAAAAAGCCGGUCCCAGUUCGGAUUGAGGUCUGCAACUCGACCUCAUGAAGUCGGAGUCGCUAGUAAUCGCAGAUCAGCAA
rnacentral:rRNA from 1 species